CCUACGGGUGGCAGCAGUGGGGAAUAUUGGGCAAUGGGCGCAAGCCUGACCCAGCAACGCCGCGUGAAGGCAGAAGGCUUUCGGGUUGUUAACUUCUUUUACGAGGGAAGAGCAGAAGACGGUACCUCUUGUAUAAGCCACGGCGCACUACGUGCCAGCAGCCGCGGUAAUACGUAGGUGGCAUGCGUUGUCCGGAUUUACUGGGUGUAAAGGGCGUGCAGCCGGGAAGAAAAGUCAGAUGUGAAAUCCCGCGGCUCAACCGCGGAACUGCAUGGGAAACUGGUUGUCUUGAGUGCCGGGGAGGUAGGCGGAAUUCGUUGUGUAGCGGUGAAAUGCGUAGAUAUAAGGAAGAACACCGAUGGCGAAGGCAGAUGACUGUACCGCUACUGACGGUGAGGCGCGAAGGCGUGGGGAGCGAACAGGAUUAGAUACCCUAGUAGUC
rnacentral:rRNA from 1 species